UAGACAUCAGAGUCAAAAAGUGUGAAAUCAAUUUAUUUUUAAAAGAAUUCUGUAAUUUUCAUUUGCACUUGCGUCCUUAAAGC
rnacentral:lncRNA from 1 species